UACCUAGGGGGCAAGCGUUAUCCGGAUUUACUGGGUGUAAAGGGAGCGUAGACGGCAGAGCAAGUCUGAAGUGAAAGCCCGCGGCCCAACUGCGGGACUGCUUUGGAAACUGCCCGGCUAGAGUGCUGGAGAGGUAAGCGGAAUUCCUAGUGUAGCGGUGAAAUGCGUAGAUAUUAGGAGGAACACCAGUGGCGAAGGCGGCUUACUGGACAGUAACUGACGUUGAGGCUCGAAAGCGUGGGGAGCAAACAGG
rnacentral:rRNA from 1 species